GCCGCGAAUUCCGCCCUUAGAGUUUGAUUAUGGCUCAGAUUGAACGCUGGCGGCAGGCCUAACACAUGCAAGUCGAGCGGUAGCACAGGAGAGCUUGCUCUCUGGGUGACGAGCGGCGGACGGGUGAGUAAUGUCUGGGAAACUGCCCGAUGGAGGGGGAUAACCACUGGAAACGGUGGCUAAUACCGCAUAACGUCUACGGACCAAAGAGGGGGACCUUCGGGCCUCUUGCCAUCGGAUGCGCCCAGAUGGGAUUAGCUAGUAGGCGGGGUAACGGCUCACCUAGGCGACGAUCCCUAGCUGGUCUGAGAGGAUGACCAGCCACACUGGAACUGAGACACGGUCCAGACUCCUACGGGAGGCAGCAGUGGGGAAUAUUGCACAAUGGGCGCAAGCCUGAUGCAGCCAUGCCGCGUGUGUGAAGAAGGCCUUCGGGUUGUAAAGCACUUUCAGCGAGGAGGAAGGCCAAUAAUUUAAUACGUUGUUGGAUUGACGUUACUCGCAGAAGAAGCACCGGCUAACUCCGUGCCAGCAGCCGCGGUAAUACGGAGGGUGCAAGCGUUAAU
rnacentral:rRNA from 1 species